UACGUAGGGGGCAAGCGUUGUCCGGAUUUACUGGGCGUAAAGGGCGCGUAGGCGGUCAGCACAAGUCAGUUGUGAAAUCUCCGGGCUUAACUCGGAAAGGUCAACUGAUACUGUGCGACUAGAGUGCAGAAGGGGCAACUGGAAUUCUCGGUGUAGCGGUGAAAUGCGUAGAUAUCGAGAGGAACACCUGCGGCGAAGGCGGGUAGCUGGGCCGACACUGACGCUGAUGCGCGAAAGCCAGGGGAGCGAACGGG
rnacentral:rRNA from 1 species